AGGUGGAGCUACAACGGAAUGCGCUGAGUGUGCUAAAACUGCCCUGCUGGAAACGAAAAUGACUAUGACCUCGAUCACUCUAGUUGAAGCUUUGAUAGUCUGAUCUUGUAAGGACAAUGAUUUUGGUUCUUGGUACUCCUACAAGAGAGGAAAUUAGAUGCAUUAAUCCGAACUAUACUGAUUUUAGGUUUCCUCAAAUUAAAGCUCCUCCUUGGCACAAGGUUUUUCAUAAGAGAAUGCCCCCUAAAACAAUUGAUCUUGCUUCAUGACUACUUAAAUAUUCUCCUAGUCUUCGAUGCCUUGUAAUAAGUAAGUAAGUAACAAUUAUAACUCCAACAACUAUGGCAUGCUUCUUCCAAAAUGACAUUGUACGUCUCUAUUAUUGAUUGCCGGUAAACGAUGCAACUAGUAUGGCAUUCCCCAUUAGUCAUUUCUGAAGACUGGUUAGCAUUGUCCAUUUGGAACAUUUACGGUGUACGUACUUUUUUUAUUGGGUUUAUAUAGGUUGAAAUCGGAUUUUAUUCUUGUACG